CAUCUAGCCACAGAAAAGGUACAGCAUUCACAGCAGCAGACCAAUCUUCCCCACACUGUCCUGCCAAUCUGCCUCUACCCACACUCAGAGAGACUGCUGCUAGGG
rnacentral:sRNA from 1 species